CCUCUUCGAUCUGCUGCGGACAGAUGAAGUGGAUAUGCGUGUCGAUGCCGCCGGCGGUGAGGAUCAUGCCUUCGCCGGCGAUCACCUCGGUGCCGGCACCGAUGGCAAUCGUGACAUCGGGCUGGAUGUCCGGGUUGCCGGCCUUGCCGAUGGCGGCGAUGCGGCCGUCCUUCAAGCCGACAUCGGCCUUGACCACGCCCCAGUGGUCGAUGAUCAGCGCGUUGGUGAUCAGGGUGUCGACUACGUCCGCCGCGCACAGCUGGCUCUGGCCCAUGCCGUCGCGGAUG
rfam:Pseudomonadales bacterium RIFCSPLOWO2_02_FTLL_63_210 rifcsplowo2_02_scaffold_98020, whole genome shotgun sequence.